rnacentral:rRNA from 1 species
UACAGAGGGUGCGAGCGUUAAUCGGAAUUACUGGGCGUAAAGCGUGCGUAGACGGUUAUUUAAGUCGGAUGUGAAAGCCCCGGGCUCAACCUGGGAAUUGCAUUCGAGACUGAAUAGCUAGGGUGCGGUAGAGGGAAGCGGAAUUUCCGGUGUAGCGGUGAAAUGCGUAGAUAUCAGGAGGAACACCUAUGGCGAAGGCAGCACUCUGGUACGUGACUGACGCUGAGACGCGAAAGCGUGGGGAGCAAACAGG